UACGAGGGGGGCGAGCGUUAAUCGGAAUUACUGGGCGUAAAGCGUGCGCAGGCGGUUUUGUAAGCCCGAUGUGAAAGCCCCGGGCUCAACCUGGGAAUGGCAUUUGGGACUGCAAGGCUUGAGUGCGGCAGAGGAGACUGGAAUUCCUGGUGUAGCAGUGAAAUGCGUAGAUAUCAGGAGGAAUACCGAUGGCGAAGGCAGGUCUCUGGGCUGACACUGACGCUCAUGCACGAAAGCGUGGGGAGCAAACAGG
rnacentral:rRNA from 1 species